AUGCGGAAUGAAGCAGGGCAAAGAGUAAUAGAGUUUUGCCAAGAAAAUGCACUGGUCAUAGCAAACACCCUCUUCCAACAACACAAGAGAAGACUCUACACAUGGACAUCACCAGAUGGUCAACACCGAAAUCUGAUUGAUUAUAUUCUUUGCAGCCAAAGAUGGAGAAGCUCUAUACAGUCAACAAAAACAAGACCAGGAGCUGACUGUGGCUCAGAUCAUGAACUCCUUAUUACCAAAUUCAGACUGAAAUUGAAGAAAGUCGGGAAAACUGCUAGACCAUUCAGGUAUGACCUAAAUCAAAUCCCUUAUGAUUAUACAGUGGAAGUGAGAAAUAGAUUUAAGGGCCUAGAUCCGAUAGAUAGAGUACAUGAUGAACUAUGGAAUGAGGUUCGUGACAUUGUACAGGAGACAGGGAUCAAGACCAUCCUCAUUGGAAAGAAAUGCAAAAAAGCAAAAUGGCUGUCUGGGGAGGGCUUACAAAUAGCUGUGAAAAGAAGAGAGGCGAAAAGCAAAGGAGAAAAGGAAAGAUAUAAGUAUCUGAAUGCAGAGUUCCGAAGAAUAGCAAGAAGAGAUAAGAAAGCCUUCUUCAGCGAUCAGUGCAAAGAAAUAGAGGAAAAGAACAGAAUGGGAAAGACUAGAGAUCUCUUCAAGAAAAUUAGAGAUACCAAGGGAACAUUACAUGCAAAGAUAGGCUCGAUAAAGGACAGAAAUGGUAUGGACCUAACACAAGCUGAAGAUAUUAAGAAGAGGUGGCAAGAAUACACAGAAGAACUGUACAAAAGAGAUCUUCAUGACCAAGAAAAUCACUAUGGUGUGAUCACUCAUCUAGAGCCAGACAUCCUGGAAUGUGAAGUCAAGUGGGCCUUAGAAAGCAUCACUACGAACAAAGCUAGUGGAGGUGAUGGCGUUCCAGUAGACCUAUUUCAAAUCCUGAAAGAUGAUGCUGUGAAAGUGCUGCACUCAAUAUGCCAACAAAUUUGGAAAACUCAGCAGUGGCCACAGGACUGGAAAAGGUCAGUUUUCAUUCCAGUCCCAAAGAAAGGCAAUGCCAAAGAAUGCUCAAACUACCGCACAAUUGCACUUAUCUCACAUGCUAGUAAAGUAAUGCUCAAAAUUCUCCAAAUCAGGCUUCAGCAAUACGUGAACCGUGAACUUGCUGAUGUUCAAGCUGGUUUUAGGAAAGGCAGAGGAACCAGAGAUCAAAUUGCCAACAUCCGCUGGAUAAUGGAAAAAGGAAGAGAGUUCCAGAAAAACAUCUAUUUCUGCUUUAUUGACUGUGCCAAAGCCUUUGACUGUGUGGAUCACAAUAAACCGUGGAAAAAUCUGAAAGAGAUGGGAAUACCAGACCACCUGACCUGCCUCUUGAGAAACCAAUAUGCAGGUCAGGAAGCAACAGUUAGAACUGGACAUGGAACAACAGACUGGUUUCUAAUAGGAAAAGGAGUACAUCAAGGCUGUAUAUUGUCACCCUGCUUAUUUAACUUAUAUGUAGAGUACAUCAUGAGAAACAUUGGACUGGAAGAAAGACAAGCUGGAAUCAAGAUUGCUGGGAGAGAUAUCAAUAAACUCAGAUAUGCAGAUGACACCACCCUUAUGGCAGAAAGUGAAGAAGAACUAAAAAGCCUCUUGAUGAAAGUGAAAGUGGAGAGUGAAAAAGUUGGCUUAAAGCUCAACAUUCAGAAAAUGAAGAUCAUGGCAUCUGGUCCCAUCACUUCAUGGGAAGUAGAUGGGGAAACAGUGGAAACAGUGACAGACUUUAUUUUGGGGGGCUCCAAAAUCACUGCAGAUGGUGAUUGCAGCCAUGAAAUUAAAAGACGCUUACUCCUUGGAAGAAAAGUUAUGACCAACCUAGAUAGCAUAUUGAAAAGCAGAGACAUUACUUUGCCAACAAAGGUCCAUCUAGUCAAGGCUAUGGUUUUUCCUGUGGUCAUGUAUGGAUGUGAGAGUUGGACUGUGAAGAAGGCUGAGCACCGAAGAAUUGAUGCUUUUGAACUGUGGUGUGGGAGAAGACUUUUGAGAGUACCUUGGACUGCAAGGAGAUCCAACCAGUCCAUUCUGAAGGAGAUCAGGCCUGGGAUUUCUUUGGAAGGAAUGAUGCUAAAGCUGAAACUCCAAUACUUUGGCCACCUCAUGUGA
rnacentral:lncRNA from 1 species